GCUCAGCCCGGAACCUGCACUGCGCGCGCAGCUUGGCCGCCUGGCCCGUAGGGGCCCGCAGCACAGGGUUCAGAGAGCCCUGGCCCUCUCGGCCGGCCUGGAGGACGCCCACCUGCCCUGCCUGUCGCCGCGACCCUCCCAGGAAAUGCGUGGGGAGGCCACGGCCAGGGAGGGACCUCGGGAGGGCGCGCCCACGGGGUGGGGCUCGCGGAGGCCAGGCGCUCACCACCCGGGCGUGCGGGGUCUAGGGAGGGCACCCAGAGGACAGCACUUCAUCCCCCAGGGCAGCCUGGGCCUGACCACUCCACUAUCAACCCUCUCCACACACACAGCCACCAUGUGGCAAUGGGAGCCAGGCUCCAGGCCACUCCUGAGGGGUCCACAGCCUUGCAGAUGGGCAUUGGGAGCUCCCAGGAUGAGGGGACAGGCCAGGCACAGGCCCACCCCCACUUCAGGGUGAGCAGCACACCGAGGUGCUCAGAGAUAAAGCCCAGACCUUCCCUGCAGAUGAGUCGUGACCCCCAUGGCAAGUCCCAGCAGAGCUGGGCCUGGACUCUCCCCUGGACCACUCCCCUCCUCACCUAGUUUCAACCAUGUGACCAACACUCACCCCAGCCCAGCUCUUCCUCUUUGGCCACAUCACCGCAGGCCAGCCUCUCAACAUGCAAGACCCGACCCUGGCUCAGCCUGCCCAAACUGCACCCGCGGUCUUUCCACGUCAUCGACAGAGUCUCUGCUGUUCUGGGUCCCAGCCUUCACCUCCCACAGGGACCUCACCAACCAGCCCAUGCCUGAUUUUAUCACGCCCUCUUUCCCAGAAAAGCAACCCUGGCUCCCGAUCUCUUCAGCCUCUGUGCCCGGCUCUCAGCCUUGGUGGCCUUUGCCUUUGGACUCUAGAUGCAUGAAAGACAUACAGAGUCCAGCACCUGGGGACAGAGAGAGAUCUAGGCCUUUUAGGGGGUUCCUGACUGUAAACCAAAAAUAACAUCGGAAGGUACCCCCAACCAUCUGAAUGAACUUCCUCCAAUAGGCCAGGGCCCUCCACAUUUAACCAGAAAGACUAGCCCAGGCCAUGAUGGAAGAGGGUGUGGGACAGGCCUGUUAUGCCCUCCAGCAUUAACAACACAGACCUUAAGUCUGACAAGAAACAUUUAUGAUCUAUUCCCUCUGAAGCCUGCAGCCUGGAGGCUUCAUCUGCAUAAUAAAACCUAGGUCUCCACAACCAGUAUCUUAACCCAGACAUACCUUUCUACUGAUAAUAGCUCUUUCAACCAACUGCCAAUCAGAAAACUUACAUCUACCAUGACCUGGAAGCCCCCCUUCCAGAUGGCAUCAAUGUGAAUCUUACAUGUACUGACAGAUGUAUUGUGCCUCCCUGAGAUGUAUAAAAGCAAGCUGUGCCCCGACCACCUUGGGCACGUGUUGUCAGGACUGGUGAGUCCUUAUCCUUGGCAAAGUAAACUUUCUAAAUUGACUGAGACAUAUCUCGGAUACUUUUUGGUUCACAUGACUCAACAGAAACAGAAGACCAGGGAGCCGUGUAGCUUUGUGCAGUGCCAUUGCUCCUCUGAGCCUCAGUUUCCCCACUCCUGACAUGACCUCUCAGUGUCAGAGGCGUUGGAACCACAGCGACUCCAUUUUGAGUGAGGGCUGGGAAAUGAGGCUGGGGCCUGCUGGGCUGCAUCCCCAGAAAGAGGCAUUCCGAGCCUCUAGAUGUUUACAGUUGUAAAAAGUAGAGGUUCCUCUUCAAAGACUUUCCUACCAAUCUAAUUAGGAAUAAAUAGUAACUUCUCUUAGAAGCAAAAUGUAUUCAAAGACCUGUGCUAACAUUAUUAAAUAUCUGCUAGCAGUAAUAAAGAAAGCAAUGUACUACUUUAUGUUCUUAGCUCCCACAAUUUAGCCUAAAUAUUUGCCCUGGCAUGCUUAUACUGGUCCAAGCGGGCAUUAGGUCAUAGCCUGUUCCUCUUCCUUAUUUGAAGGUGUUUUUACCUUUCUCAGCAUUCCACAAAUUACUUCCUUCCUUUGUUCUCCUCUGCCUU